rnacentral:rRNA from 1 species
UACGGAGGGGCAAGCGUUGUCCGGACUUACUGGGCGUAAAGGGUGCGUAGGCGGCCUGCUGCGUCGGUGCUGAAAGCGCCCGGCUUAACCGGGCGAGGCGUGCCGAUACGAGCGGGCUGGAGCCUUGGCGAGGGUGGCGGAACUCCUGGUGUAGUGGUGAAAUGCGUAGAGAUCAGGAAGAACACCCGUGGCGCAAGCGGCCCACCUGCCAAGAGCUGACGCUGAGGCACGAGAGCGUGGGGAGCGAACCGG